rnacentral:rRNA from 1 species
GACGAACGCUGGCGGCGUGCUUAACACAUGCAAGUCGAACGGAAAGGCCCUGCUUUUGUGGGGUGCUCGAGUGGCGAACGGGUGAGUAACACGUGAGUAACCUGCCCUUGACUUUGGGAUAACUUCAGGAAACUGGGGCUAAUACCGGAUAGGAGCUCCUGCUGCAUGGUGGUGGUUGGAAAGUUUCGGCGGUUGGGGAUGGACUCGCGGCUUAUCAGCUUGUUGGUGGGGUAGUGGCUUACCAAGGCUUUGACGGGUAGCCGGCCUGAGAGGGUGACCGGCCACAUUGGGACUGAGAUACGGCCCAGACUCCUACGGGAGGCAGCAGUGGGGAAUAUUGCAAAAUGGGCGGAAGCCUGAUGCAGCAACGCCGCGUGCGGGAUGACGGCCUUCGGGUUGUAAACCGCUUUCGCCUGUGACGAAGCGUGAGUGACGGUAAUGGGUAAAGAAGCACCGGCUAACUACGUG